rnacentral:misc_RNA from 1 species
GUUCUGGAUAUAGGAAUCUGAUGCCAAACCAAAUUUUAUGAAGUGACAAUGCUGCUGUUUCCCCUUGGAUAAAUUUCCAUGACUUAAACAAUGAAGGAUACGUGAAUCUAUCUGGUAUUAUUAGUCCUUCAGCUAUCAUUUCUUGAUGUAAAAGAAGCACGUCUUGAUGUAAGUUCUUGUUUGUGUAGCCAUUGCUGCUUUGCUUGUUUGUCAGUUUCAGCCAGAUUCAGUGUGCUCUAUCUUUGCUUCAAUACAAAAUAUCUAUUGCUAGAAUUUUACAAUUUUCUGCAAGAAACUAAUAAGUUUAGAUAGG